ensembl:lncRNA
AGCAAUUUAAUCCUAAGUGGCAGUAAUUAAAAACAUUUUGUGAUAUUCACAUAUUCACAAAUGUCUCAUACUUGUCAAUCAAAAUAUAGAUGAAUAUAUUCACCAUGCAGGGAAAUAACAAUUCUUCACUUAAAAAUAAUACAGUUUAAGUAUAAAAUAUUUCAUGCAUAUUCACUUUUAAUGCAUUUUCAAUAUCUCCCCUUGCUCCAUCCAACAAUAUAAAGAACUCAUUCGUUAAUACUGAUAAUGCUUGCCAUGUGUCUUUACUGUACCUUAUGUCAAAUAAUUUCUCUGCUCUUUCAUCAAAAGUAUAUAAUUAUCUUAUAGCUGCUGCUAUCAGCUCUGCUAAUAUUUUUUGCAAAUUCUUUGCAUCCACACUACUGAAGAUGCUCCGUAUACAAUAUCUUUGUCUGUCGAUAUUUUUUAAAUGGAAACUUACCUAGUAAAAUACAUAUGUGCAUGUGGCACCUAUGCUAAUGAUCCAAACCCUGGAACCAGCACCUCCUUGCAAACUUCCGCAAAAAUUCUAUUACAUAACAUUAAAAAACAAAAGUUUGAGCACGCAAUAAUUGUAAUAGUCUGGCCUAAAAAAUAAAAUCAAAAGUACUCUACUACUUUAUAUUUUUGGACUAUAUCAAUAUCAUAAACCAAAUGAACUAACCUGUCUUUUCUGCAAAUUACUGGGCAGCCAGUUAUUAAUUCACCCCAUUGGAUGAACUGCCGUGAAAAAACAAACAAACAAACAAACAAACAAACAAACAAACAAACAAACAAAAAACAAAACCCUGAUUCAUGAUGCUACUAAACCAUGCACUAACUUUUGAUAAUUUAUUUCAUGCCAUCCUGUGGUUGAUGUGCUAUAUAUUACCUUACCUUUAACGCCCACAUUCUGACCUACAGCUUGACUUGGAGGUCACACCCCUUUGCACGGUCACUGGGUAAAUAUUUCCUUCCUGAUUCAGCAAAGCAACGUCAGCUGGGAGGGACAGACUGGCUUUGGAUUUCAGGGGCUGAGCCAGACAGACUUGUUUGAGGAAAAAACACAAAACAAAACAAAAAAGAUGAUAAAAGAAGCAGUAAAGGCUGGUUGGUUGUUUUCUUAAUGUACCAAGGAGUGGGAUGAUUGGCCCAAGGAAGAUCUCUGUAUGUCAAUCUUCUUAAAAAGCAAGGUCCAUGCUGCUUCAAUUAAUUUCUGGCCUUGAGGGAUUCUUGACCAUUGCUUGGGGCUCCAGAAGUACACACACACCACAUGUGAAUGUAGGAAAUUUGAAACCGUUUAAACAAAUCAGUGAAGAAUAUCAGUUACUUGGAUUCCUGCUGUCAUUCAGUCUCUUACCCUGCUGCACAGGCAUUUGUCUCCAUUUGAUUGACUAUGUUGUCGUUUGCAAAAGUAGGAAGAAAGAGAGAGACAUUUCUCAAUGUAUUAAGACAAAGUACUUGCACAUUAUUUCUCCUAGCAUAAAACCACACUGCAAAAUUAUUGCAAUCACAUGUAGCUGGCUUUUAAGUUGAAUACAGCUAAUAAGCUAUUGGCUGUCUGUAGGACCUCUGACAUUUGUGUGAGUGCAUGUGGAUCUGUCUAGCAGACAUGCACGUGUAAAACACAGAUGGUCAGAUGUAAUAAACAUGGCCAGUGUUUUUGGCUCACAUAAAGGGCAUGGCGCUGGGGUUUUAUUUCAUCACAGCCUUGGGGCAUUAAUGUGUUCAUCCAGACUCUCAAGUGGUCUUUAUGAGGGAGAGGAGGGAAGCCUGUUUCCAC